rnacentral:tRNA from 3 species
CGGGGCGUAGCUCAGCCUGGUUUAGAGUGCUGGACUGGGGGUCCAGAGGUCGCAGGUUCAAAUCCUGUCGCCCCGA